rnacentral:rRNA from 1 species
AACGAACGCUGGCGGCAUGCCUAACACAUGCAAGUCGAACGAACCCUUCGGGGUGAGUGGCGCGCGGGUGCGUAACGCGUGGGAAUCUGCCCUUUGCUUCGGAAUAACUCAGGGAAACAUGUGCUAAUACCGCAUGAUGUCUUCGGACCAAAGAUUUAUCGGCAAGGGAUGAGCCCGCGUAGGAUUAGGUAGUUGGUGGGGUAAAGGCCUACCAAGCCGACGAUCCGUAGCUGGUCUGAGAGGAUGAUCAGCCACACUGGGACUGAGACACGGCCCAGACUCCUACGGGAGGCAGCAGUGGGGAAUAUUGGACAAUGGGCGCAAGCCUGAUCCAGCAAUGCCGCGUGAGUGAUGAAGGCCUUCGGGUUGUAAAGCUCUUUUACCAGGGAUGAUAAUGACAGUACCUGGAGAAUAAGCUCCGGCUAACUCCGUG